GAUGACCAUGGGGACAACACAAACACCCACAUGGGUGUUAAUAUGGAUGGCUCUGGCGAUUGGUUUAACUGCCUCUCAAAGUGAGGAUACAUCAAAGGCCACAGUUAACAUCAUCCCCUCAAUGUCAAGGAUACCUGAGAUUGCAGGAGUGAGUCCUAUACAUAAUGGCCAAGUCUGCAGUACGUGGGGUAACUACCACUUCAAGACCUUUGAUGGAGACAUCUUUCAGCUCCCCUCCACCUGCAACUAUGUUGUGACCUCACUGUGUAAGAGCAGUUAUGAGGCUUUCAACAUCCAGAUGAGGCGGCAGGUGGUGGACAACCAGCCCACCAUUAGCAAGAUCACCAUGAAGCUGGAUGGUGUAGUGGUGGAGCUAUCCAAGGGUUCCAUUGUUGUUAAUGGGAAUAAUACCACCUUACCAUUCAGCCAGUCUGGUAUUCUCAUUGAAGAGACUCCCUCCUACAUCAAGAUCAAAGCGAAACUGGGAUUGGUAGCCAUAUGGAACCAGGAUGAUUCCUUCUUGGUGGAGAUGGACAUCAAAUUCAGAAAUAAGACCUGUGGUCUAUGUGGAGAUUUUAAUGCAAUUCAGCAAUUUGAUGAGUUCUAUAGCCAUGGUAUGAAAUUGUCCCCUGUCGACUUCGGAAACUUCUGGAAAUUGGAUGGUCCCACUGAAAGCUGUACUGAAAACACACUGCCUUCAAAUCAGAAAUGCCCCAAUCUGAAACCAGUUUGUGAGCAGUUGCUCUCCGGUCCUGCCUUCAGCAGCUGUAAGGACUUGUUGGCCAUCGACUCAUUUGUUGAGGCCUGUGUAUCUGACCUGUGCCACUGUGAUAACAGCACCAACUCAUUCUGCCUGUGCAACACCAUCUCAGAGUACUCCCGUCAGUGUGUUCAUGCAGGGGGGAAGCCCAAACAAUGGAGGACUGAACAGUUCUGCUAUAAGACAUGCCCCUUCAACAUGGAGUACCAGGAGUGUGGAAACCCCUGUGUUGACACCUGCUCCAACCCUGAGAGAGGCCAGCUGUGUGAGGACCACUGCUCAGAUGGCUGCUUUUGUCCUCCAGGAACCGUUUUUGAUGACGUCAACAAGAACGGUUGUAUCGCCUUGAGUCAAUGCUCCUGCCGCCACAAUGGAAAAACCUACGCACCCGGAGAGUCUUAUUCAAGCACUUGUAAAGAUUGUUCUUGUGCUGGUGGUCAGUGGGCCUGUACAGACAAGGACUGUCCUGGCACCUGUGCUGUGGAGGGAGGAUCCCACAUCAACACCUACGAUGGAAAAACCUACACCUUCCACGGGGACUGCUCUUAUGUUCUGACCAAGGACUGUGAUGGGAUGCAAUUCACUGUACUGGGUGAUCUGGUGCAGUGUGGGCUUUCUGACAGUGAGACUUGUCUAAAGGCUGUUACCCUGUCCCUCUCAGAAGGAGCCACUGUGAUCAACAUACAACCCAAUGGAAAAGCCUUUGUAAAUGGAAUCUAUUCUCAGCUUCCCUUUUCUGCUGCUGGAGUAACUAUUUUCAGAGCCUCCUCAUUUUUCGUCAUUGUCCAGACCACCUUUGGCCUCCAGUUGGAAAUCCAACUCUCACCAAUCAUGCAGGUCUAUAUUGCUGCAAGCACCGUUUGGCAGCAGAGAACUUGCGGUCUUUGUGGAAACUUCAACAACAACCAAGGAGAUGAUUUCAAGGUCCUGAGCGGAGUGACUGAGGGCACAGCCAUUGGUUUUGCAAACACCUGGAAAACACGAGCCAGCUGCCCAGACAUCAAGAGUAGCUUUGAAAGCCCCUGCAGUUUAAGUCUUGACAAUGAGAAAUAUGCCCAGCACUGGUGCUCUCAGCUGGCUGAUCCUAAAGGGUUGUUUGCUAAAUGCCACACAGCAAUAAGCCCAGACAUGUACAGAGAAAACUGCAUGUAUGACAGCUGUAACUGUGAGAAAAGUGAGGACUGCAUGUGUGCUGCCGUCUCCUCUUAUGUCCACGCUUGUGCUGCCGAGGGUAUCCAGCUCACUGGCUGGAGAGACACUAUCUGCAACAAAUACUCCACCUCGUGCCCUAGCACCAUGGUCUACAGCUACAGCAUAAAAAGCAGUGAUCGCUCCUGCCGCUGCUACAGCGACUCUGACUUUACCUGUUCAAUCACCUUCGAGCCUGUGGAUGGGUGUGUCUGUUCUGAGGGAACCUACCUGGAUGAUGAGGGCAAGUGUGUUCCACCAACCAGCUGCCCUUGUUAUUACAAGGGCUCAGUGGUCUCCCCUGGAGAGGUCAUCAGCAAGGAUGGAACCAUGUGCACCUGCAAGGAGGGAAAACUCCGUUGCAUUGGAGAUUCACCCAAUCAGCCAUCAUGUGUUGCACCAAUGGUUUUCUUCAACUGCUCCAAUGCAAGCCCAGGAGUGAGAGGGUUAGAGUGUCAGAAGAGCUGCAACAUUCUGGAUAUGGCCUGUAUCAGCACAGAGUGCAUAUCAGGCUGUAUGUGUCCCUCUGGACUGGUAUCCGAUGGAAAAGGAGGCUGCAUCAAGCCAGACCUUUGUCCUUGUUCUCACAAUGGAGCUACUUACCAACCAGGAGACGGAAUCAAGGUCGACUGCAAUACCUGCACUUGUAAAGACAGAAAAUGGCAGUGCACAACUAACCUGUGCCUUGGAACCUGUGCCAUUUAUGGAGAUGGACACUACAUUACUUUUGAUGGGAAACGAUUCACUUUCGAAGGAGACUGUGAAUACACACUUACAAAGGACUACUAUGGUAGCAACAAUGCCAACGGCAGCUUCAGAGUCAUCACUGAGAACAUCCCUUGUGGAACGACUGGCACCACCUGCUCCAAGGCCAUUAAGCUCUUCCUGGGGAACAAUGAACUAAUUCUGACAGAAGGGAACUACCAAGUCGUUGAGAGAAAUACAGGGGAGGCGGUUCCUUACCAGAUUCGCACAAUGGGCAUCUACCUUGUGAUUGAAGCCAAUAAUGGGUUGAUUCUCAUGUGGGACAGGAAAACAAGCAUGUUCAUCAAACUGAACCCACAGUUCAAGGGACAUGUCUGUGGUCUGUGUGGAAACUAUGAUGGCAAUGCAAACAAUGACUUCACUACCAGGAGCCAGGCAGUAGUUGUCAACCCUCUAGACUUUGGAAACAGCUGGAAAGUCUCUGCAAGCUGCCCCGAUGCAAAGAACAAAAGGAGCCCCUGUACUGCCAACCCUUACAGGCAGUCUUGGUCACAGAAGCAGUGCAGCAUCAUACAGAGCAAAGUUUUCACAGACUGCCAUUCUAAAGUGGACCCCUCUCCUUUCUACGAUGCUUGUGUGACAGACUCGUGUGCUUGCGACAGUGGUGGAGACUGUGAGUGUUUUUGUACCGCUGUGGCAGCUUAUGCAGAGGCCUGUAAUGAGGCUGGAGCCUGCAUAGCCUGGAGAAGCCCACAAAUCUGCCCACUGUUCUGUGAUUACUACAACCCUACUGGAGAAUGUGAGUGGCACUACAAGGCAUGUGGAGCUCAGUGUAUGAAGACCUGCAGGAAUCCCUCCGGGAGCUGCUCAACUCAGAUACCACCUCUUGAAGGUUGCUAUCCAAAAUGUCCUCCUGCUCAACCCUUCUUUGAUGAAGAUAUAAUGAAGUGUGUGGAGAAGGAGCAGUGUGGCUGCUAUGGCAGAGAUGGAAAACACUACAAUAAUGGAGAAAAAGUACCGACCACAGAAAACUGCCAGACAUGCUAUUGUAAUUCUGUGACAGUGGACUGCAAAUACGAUGUACAAGCUUGCACUUGCACCUACAAUGGGAACAAAUACCCCAAUGGGCAUAUCAUCUAUCACACCACAAAUGGGCACGGCAGUUGUAUCACAGCCAUCUGUGGGAAGAAUGGAACCACUCAGAGGGACAUUUACCCAUGUUCAACUCCAACUCCAACUUUAACUCCAUCUGUUCCUAACUCUACUCCAUCCUCUACAGUGACAACAACUGUCUUUACUUUCUCAACACCCACAACUGCGCCAACCACAACUUCAACAGAGACAACAGUGUCUCCAACAACCUUUACUACUACAUGUGGAUAUCCAUGUGUGUGGUCACAGUGGUUUGAUACCACAUUCCCUACACUUGGUACUCCAGGAGGAGACUCUGAAACCUACAACAACAUAAGAGCAGAGGGACACGAUAUAUGUGAGAAGCCAAGCAAGAUCCAAUGCAGAGCCGAGAAGUACCCAAAUGUUAGCAUAAGCCAAGUAGGCCAAGUGGUGCAGUGUAAUGUAGCAGAAGGGUUGACUUGCAGAAAUGAAGACCAGUCAGGAAAAUUCCCACUGUGCUUUAACUACCAAGUUCGAGUCCUCUGCUGUGAUGAAGAUCUUUGUACAUCUAAGCCUACAACCAUUUCACCAACAACUACAAGACCACCUGUUACAACAACAACUACAAACACAACCACCUCCACUAUAUCAACGACCACGUUGAAUACAAAACCCCCUAACUGCACAGUUUGUGAGUGGUCACCUUGGUAUAAUGUGGACUAUCCUCAAUUUGGUCCUGGGGGUGGUGACAAUGAAUCAAUUAAAAAGAUUCUAGAAUCUGGAAAACAUAUUUGUGAAAAACCAGUGGAUGUUAUGUGCCAAGCAGUGCGAUAUCCAGGGAUCCCAUUGUCUGAAUUAGGACAGAAGGUAGAAUGUAAUACAAAGGUUGGAUUAAUAUGCCAGAACAAAGAUCAAGGUAUUCCUCCAAUAUGCCUUGACUAUGAAAUUAAGGUGAAGUGUUGCAAGACUGUGAAAUGUCACACUACAACACCAGUCCAAACAACUACACCUACUGUCACAACAACAACAAUGUCAGCAUCCACAUUACCUACAACAACAAGUAAACCAACAACAAUCACUACUCCUCCAACCUCAACUCUACCUCUAACCACAACUACAACUCCUACCACUACUCCAACACCAAAUACCACAAUCUUAACAUCGACUGCACCACCUACCACAUCAACAACAGUUACUCCCAUCACUACUCCAACACCCACGACAAAGACCUCAACAUCGACAGGUACAUCGACAACAAAAACAACAACUCACACUCCCAGCCCUAGUACAACUCCAACCACUACUCCUUCAUCAACCUCAACAGGAGUAACACCUACCCAAUGCAGUGGUGAAGAAAAAUGUGUGUGGUCAGACUGGAUCAACCUUGGUCAGCCAACGUCUGGCUCUAAAGGUGGAGAUAAUGAAUCCAUUAAGAACAUCAUUGCUGCUGGUUAUCACAUUUGCUCAGCUCCAGAGGCAGUUGAAUGUAGAGCAAAACAAUUCCCUGGACUUCAGAUCUCUCAGCUUGGCCAAGAUGUGACUUGCAAUCCAUCUGUUGGACUGAUUUGUCAAAACAAUAAGCAAGGUCCUCAGCAAAAGUGCUUCGAUUACGAGAUUCGAGUGAAAUGUUGUCAAUGUGGAACCACAACACACAUUCCAACCACCGCAAUAACAACAGUUCCUCUAGUCACUACUCCUACACCCACUACUACAACCUCAACAUCGACAGCUCCACCUACAACAAAAACAACAACUCAGACUCCCAGCCCUAGUACAACUCCAACCACUACUCCUACAUCACCCUCAACAGGAGUAACACCUACCCAAUGCAGUGGUGAAGAAACAUGUGUGUGGUCAGACUGGAUCAACCUUGGUCAGCCAACGUCUGGCUCUAAAGGUGGAGAUAAUGAAUCCAUUAAGAACAUCAUUGCUGCUGGUUAUCACAUUUGCUCAGCUCCAGAGGCAGUUGAAUGUAGAGCAAAACAAUUCCCUGGACUUCAGAUCUCUCAGCUUGGCCAAUACGUGACUUGCAAUCCAUCCGUUGGACUAGUUUGUCAAAACAAUGAGCAAGGUCCUCAGCAAAAGUGCUUCGAUUACGAGAUUCGAGUGAAAUGUUGUCAAUGUGGAACCACAACACACAUCCCAACCACCGCAACAACAACAGUUCCUCUCGUCACUACUCCUACACCCACUACUACAACCUCAACAUCGACAGCUCCACCUACAACAAAAACAACAACUCAGACUCCCAGCCCUAGUACAACUCCAACCACUACUCCUACAUCACCCGCAACAGGAGUAACACCUACCCAAUGCAGUGGUGAAGAAACAUGUGUGUGGUCAGACUGGAUCAACCUUGGUCAGCCAACGUCUGGCUCUAAAGGUGGAGAUAAUGAAUCCAUUAAGAACAUCAUUGCUGCUGGUUAUCACAUUUGCUCAGCUCCAGAGGCAGUUGAAUGUAGAGCAAAACAAUUCCCUGGACUUCAGAUCUCUCAGCUUGGCCAAGAUGUGACUUGCAAUCCAUCCGUUGGACUAGUUUGUCAAAACAAUGAGCAAGGUCUUCAGCAAAAGUGCUUCGAUUAUGAGAUUCGAGUGAAAUGUUGUCAAUGUGGAACCACAACACACAUCCCAACCACCGCAACAACAACAGUUCCUCUCGUCACUACUCCUACUCCUACACCCACUACUACAACCUCAACAUCGACAGCUCCACCUACAACAAAAACAACAACUCAGACUCCCAGCCCUAGUACAACUCCAACCACUACUCCUACAUCAACUUCAACAGGAGUAACACCUACCCAAUGCAGUGGUGAAGAAACAUGUGUGUGGUCAGACUGGAUCAACCUUGGUCAGCCAACGUCUGGCUCUGAAGGUGGAGAUAAUGAAUCCAUUAACAACAUCAUUGCUGCUGGUUAUCACAUUUGCUCAGCUCCAGAGGCAGUUGAAUGUAGAGCAAAACAAUUCCCUGGACUUCAGAUCUCUCAGCUUGGCCAAGAUGUGACUUGCAAUCCAUCUGUUGGACUGAUUUGUCAAAACAAUAAGCAAGGUCCUCAGCAAAAGUGCUUCGAUUACGAGAUUCGAGUGAAAUGUUGUCAAUGUGGAACCACAACACACAUCCCAACCACCGCAACAACAACAGUUCCUCUCGUCACUACUCCUACACCCACUACUACAACCUCAACAUCGACAGCUCCACCUACAACAAAAACAACAACUCAGACUCCCAGCCCUAGUACAACUCCAACCACUACUCCUACAUCAACUUCAACAGGAGUAACACCUACCCAAUGCAGUGGUGAAGAAACAUGUGUGUGGUCAGACUGGAUCAACCUUGGUCAGCCAACGUCUGGCUCUAAAGGUGGAGAUAAUGAAUCCAUUAAGAACAUCAUUGCUGCUGGUUAUCACAUUUGCUCAGCUCCAGAGGCAGUUGAAUGUAGAGCAAAACAAUUCCCUGGACUUCAGAUCUCUCAGCUUGGCCAAGACGUGACUUGCAAUCCAUCCGUUGGACUAGUUUGUCAAAACAAUGAGCAAGGUCUUCAGCAAAAGUGCUUCGAUUAUGAGAUUCGAGUGAAAUGUUGUCAAUGUGGAACCACAACACACAUCCCAACCACCGAAACAACAACAGUUCCUCACAUCACUACUCCUACACCCACUACUACAACCUCAACAUCGACAGCUCCACCUACAACAAUAACAACAACUCAGACUCCCAGCCCUAGUACAACUCCAACCACUACUCCUACAUCACCCUCAACAGGAGUAACACCUACCCAAUGCAGUGGUGAAGAAACAUGUGUGUGGUCAGACUGGAUCAACCUUGGUCAGCCAACGUCUGGCUCUAAAGGUGGAGAUAAUGAAUCCAUUAAGAACAUCAUUGCUGCUGGUUAUCACAUUUGCUCAGCUCCAGAGGCAGUUGAAUGUAGAGCAAAACAAUUCCCUGGACUUCAGAUCUCUCAGCUUGGCCAAGAUGUGACUUGCAAUCCAUCUGUUGGACUGAUUUGUCAAAACAAUAAGCAAGGUCCUCAGCAAAAGUGCUUCGAUUACGAGAUUCGAGUGAAAUGUUGUCAAUGUGGAACCACAACACACAUCCCAACCAACGCAACAACAACAGUUCCUCUCGUCACUACUCCUACACCCACUACUACAACCUCAACAUCGACAGCUCCACCUACAACAAAAACAACAACUCAGACUCCCAGCCCUAGUACAACUCCAACCACUACUCCUACAUCAACUUCAACAGGAGUAACACCUACCCAAUGCAGUGGUGAAGAAACAUGUGUGUGGUCAGACUGGAUCAACCUUGGUCAGCCAACGUCUGGCUCUAAAGGUGGAGAUAAUGAAUCCAUUAAGAACAUCAUUGCUGCUGGUUAUCACAUUUGCUCAGCUCCAGAGGCAGUUGAAUGUAGAGCAAAACAAUUCCCUGGACUUCAGAUCUCUCAGCUUGGCCAAGACGUGACUUGCAAUCCAUCCGUUGGACUAGUUUGUCAAAACAAUGAGCAAGGUCUUCAGCAAAAGUGCUUCGAUUAUGAGAUUCGAGUGAAAUGUUGUCAAUGUGGAACCACAACACACAUCCCAACCACCGAAACAACAACAGUUCCUCACAUCACUACUCCUACACCCACUACUAUAACCUCAACAUCGACAGCUCCACCUACAACAAUAACAACAACUCAGACUCCCAGCCCUAGUACAACUCCAACCACUACUCCUACAUCAACCUCAACAGGAGUAACACCUACCCAAUGCCGUGGUGAAGAAACAUGUGUGUGGUCAGACUGGAUCAACCUUGGUCAGCCAACGUCUGGCUCUAAAGGUGGAGAUAAUGAAUCCAUUAAGAACAUCAUUGCUGCUGGUUAUCACAUUUGCUCAGCUCCAGAGGCAGUUGAAUGUAGAGCAAAACAAUUCCCUGGACUUCAGAUCUCUCAGCUUGGCCAAUACGUGACUUGCAAUCCAUCCGUAGGACUAGUUUGUCAAAACAAUGAGCAAGGUCUUCAGCAAAAGUGCUUCGAUUACGAGAUUCGAGUGAAAUGUUGUCAAUGUGGAACCACAACACACAUCCCAACCACCACCACAUCAACGACAGGUCCUCACAUCACUACUCCUACACCCACUACUACAACCUCAACGUCAACAGUUCCAUCUACAACAAAAACAACAACUCUGCCUCCCACCACUACUAUUAUUCCUACAACUCCUUUUUUUGUAAUAACUAGUGAAACAGCGAAACCAUCGAUUCCAGUCACAAUACACCAUCAUUGUUCUUCUUGCUAUUUCAAUCAUACUGAUUUCCUCAUUGGCUCAAUUGUUUAUAAUGUCUCUGACCAUGAUGGAUGGUGCUACAUUGGUCUCUGCAACAAGACUUGUGAAAUAGAAACACAUUUGACCAGCUGUGGUACAUCAACUACCCCAGUUACUCCUACUUCACCAACCACUUCACAGCCCCAACAACAACAGUUCCACAUGUAACAUAUCCAUCUGAGAAGAACUGUGACCAUGACCAUCCUCCAAGACAGAAUGGUGACAGCUGGAAACAUAACCAAUGCACCAACGGAACAUGCGCCAACGGGAAAGUUAUUUAUGAGCAUGUACAUUGUGAGACUCCGAAGCCUAUAGCAUGUGAAAAUAACUAUCCUCCAAUCAAAGUGUAUGACGAAUCUGGAUGCUGUUUCCACUAUGAGUGUCAAUGUAUCUGCUAUGGUUGGGGAGACCCUCACUAUGUCACCUUUGAUGGAACAUACUAUGGCUUCCAAGGAAAUUGUUCAG